rnacentral:tRNA from 1 species
GCGUGUGUAGUUCAGCUGGUUAAAACACUUCACUGAUAAUGAAGAUGUCGGAGGUUCAAGCCCAGGCACACACA